rnacentral:tRNA from 1 species
GCGGGCGUGGCUCAGUGGUAGAGCAUCUCCUUGCCAAGGAGAGAGUCGUGGGUUCGAAUCCCAUCGCCCGCU